GUACAUGAGUUCCUCACUGGAUCAUCAUGAUGCCAGAAUUAACUUUUCAGGUACUUGUGGAGCCGAUGAGAUUUACUGACUUAUAUCGUCAUCCACUGUGUAACUCUUCCUCAGCAUCUGCCUGCAGGGAGAAGACGGUGAGGAUGCCCUUGGCAACGCAGAAGCUGAGAGAUCCCAACACAAACCCUUGCUUGUCGGAAUCUGAUGCUUCUACCAGAUGUAUGGAUGAAAAUAAUUAUGACAGGGAAAAGUGUUCCAAUCAAUUCUUGAAGUACAAAAACUGCCGGAAGUUCUGGAAUUCUGUCAUGAUGCAGAGAAGACAGAAUGGAGUGAAGCCACCUAUGCCGACAGCAGCAGAGAGAGACGAAAUCUUGGGAGCAAUGGGAAAGAUGCCCUAUUGAGUGGUUGCAUUAAAGUCAUUUAUUUAACUUAGAAGCAGAUGGAUAUUUUUAAGAAGUGGUAACUGUAACUUCCUAAGACCUUCCAGGCCUUACCCAGACAGGUCUCAGAUUCCACCCGCGGAAGCCCUGUGCCCCCAGUGUUUGCUCUCGGUGCCAUGAUGGGAGCAGGCCAUCCUGGCCCUGCCGUGUCACCAAGUUUGUACGAUGAAGGCAAGGGAGCCUGAGGAAGGGCUCCGUGGAGAGUUGAGGUUUUCUGCUCUUUCUUGAAAGAGAAGUAAGACGUGAACAAGGAGGGACUUGAUGGGGGUGAAAGGGAAGCAGUGUUUCCAAGGAAGGGAAAUGAUGUGAGUGACGAGGGGAAAGCGGGAGCCACGUCUGGAGAGCAGUGUACGGACAGUUCCCCUGGAGGGUGAGGUGGGGAGCAGACCGGGAGGGAAGCCCGGGGGGAGGCGUGCUGGGCUUGAGGUCUCUGCCCCAACUUCACUCACCCACCUUGGUUUAAAAAGGUUAGGGGAGCAGCGGUAAGGUAAAGUUGUCUUAAAUGGCAUGCAGAAGAACUGGUUUUCUGUAUUUUCUUUCUUUAAGGAAAGACUUAGAGGAUUCUGUGACUAAAAUCUGUGAAUGGUGGACAACCUUCUGAAGGCAUAGUAUUCUUGAACCACAAUAAUGGAAAGAAAAGCCGUUCCAGCAGGCAGGAGCUGGUGGGCACCGUGGCUUUGACUUGCAUCCCCUGAUGCCUGACGACACAGACCAUCUGCGUAUGCACAUUGGCCACGUGUGCAUCUUCUGUGGAGAAAUAUUGUUGGUGUGAACGAUUUGCAGGGGACUUCCCUGGUGGUACAGUGGUUAAGAAUCCGCCUGCCAGUGCAGGGGACAUGGGUUUGAGCCCUGGUCCAGGAAGAUCCCACGUGCCACGAGGCAACUAAGCCCAUGUGCCACAACUACUGAGCCUGCACUCUAGAGCCCGCGAGCCACAACUAUUGAGCCCACAUGCCACAGCUACUGGAGCCUGCGUGCCUAGAGCUGGUGCUCUGCAACAAGAGAAGUCACUGCAAUGAGAAGCCUGCGCAUCACAACGAAGAGUAGCCCCUGAUCUCCACAACUAGAGAAAGCCCGUGUGCAUCAACGAAGACCCAAUGCAGCCAAAAAAUAAACAAAAAAAUUAAAAAAAAAAACCAAUUUGCGGAACUCUUGGUAUAGUAAGGAAAUUACCUCUUUGUCAAACAUAUUCUGUGUAUUUUUCCCAGUUUGUCUUUUAACUUCAUGUUUUCAUUUCUGAGCAGUGUUUUACAUUUUAAGGUAAUUAAAUGGAUCAGUCUUUUUGCUCCUGGUUU